rnacentral:lncRNA from 1 species
AUUUCUGUAUUACUGAAAUAUUAUUACACCAGGGUUUUCGAUAUCACAAACAAGUCAAAACAUUCACUAAAUUUUAUCAUCAGCAUAAGGAAAUAAUUCGUAUAUAUAACUCAACAUGCAGACAUCUUAUCAGUUCAGGUAUUUCACAUCCAACCUUUCAUGGUAAUAUUCUUUACAAAACACAAAAAUGUCAGUACUCAC